rnacentral:rRNA from 1 species
AACGUAGGACGCAAGCGUUAUCCGGAGUUACUGGGCGUAAAGGGCGCGUAGGCGGCUUGGCAAGUGGAAGGUGAAAUCCCUCGGCUUAACCGAGGAACUGCCCUCCAAACUGCUUCGCUUGAGACCGGGAGAGGUGAGUGGAAUUCCCAGUGUAGCGGUGAAAUGCGUAGAUAUAGGAAGGAACACCAGUGGCGAAGGCGACCACCUGGACUGAUACUGACACUGAGGUGCGAAAGCGUGGGGAGCAAACAGG